CUGGAGUGGUGAGGAGGGACAGGAGGUGAGGACAGUUCUUACCUGACAGGUACAGUCAUGACCUGGCAUCGCUGUCUCUGGGUUUGGCAGAUGUCCAGUGCUUUCUUGCCUUAUUGCCCUGAUGAGAACCUCCAAAUUAACGGCUAUCCCUCAUGCUGCCACAGGAACCUUCUUUUGCCCUUCAUCUGUCCUCCCUCCACGUCAGGGAGGAGAAACUGAAUAAGGGGAAACACAGAAUGAGGACCCAGCGGGUGGACUAUGGUGCACAUCCUCUUCCUCCUGUGGCUCCUCAAUCUCUUUCAUCCAACAUUGCUGAAAAUGACUCCCACUGGGUUGCAUUUGGGCCAGGAGCCUCAGCUGGAUAUGUGAAAUGUCAAGGGUUCUAUGUCUACGGAUCAUAAAAAUGGCAAAAGAGACCUGGAAAAUGUCUGCUCACAUGCCCUGGGCCAACAUGGAUUUAAGGAAAACACAUCCAUUCUUCCAGCCAUCAGCGCAGUCUGGAAGCCAUCACAAGCCUGUAAGUUUUACUACUUUAUUUUGGAUCCAUCACAGAGAAGAAGCCUGCUGCCAAGCUGACUGGCACACAUGGAGCCCUUAUGUGCCAGGGCAUGAAACUGGUCUGCUGAAUGAGGGCCCAGGCUGUAAAUGAGUAUCUGAGCUGAGAACAUCACCAGUAUCAGCAGAAAGGUAACUGUUCAUUGGCUU